rnacentral:sRNA from 2 species
AUAUACCACGCGUACGCUCCGGUUCCUGCCCGCCGUCCACACCCACCUGACGACUGCUCGCUACGUCUUGUCAGUC